rnacentral:rRNA from 1 species
UACGAAGGGGGCUAGCGUUGCUCGGAAUCACUGGGCGUAAAGCGCCCGUAGGCGGACUCUUAAGUCGGUGGUGAAAUCCUGGAGCUCAACUCCAGAACUGCCUUCGAUACUGAGAGUCUCGAGUCCGGGAGAGGUGAGUGGAACUGCGAGUGUAGAGGUGAAAUUCGUAGAUAUUCGCAAGAACACCAGUGGCGAAGGCGGCUCACUGGCCCGGUACUGACGCUGAGGUGCGAAAGCGUGGGGAGCAAACAGG